rnacentral:rRNA from 1 species
GAUGAACGCUGGCGGCGUGCCUAAUACAUGCAAGUCGAGCGAACAGACGAGGAGCUUGCUCCUCUGACGUUAGCGGCGGACGGGUGAGUAACACGUGGAUAACCUACCUAUAAGACUGGGAUAACUUCGGGAAACCGGAGCUAAUACCGGAUAAUAUAUUGAACCGCAUGGUUCAAUAGUGAAAGACGGUUUUGCUGUCACUUAUAGAUGGAUCCACGCCGCAUUAGCUAGUUGGUAAGGUAACGGCUUACCAAGGCAACGAUGCGUAGCCGACCUGAGAGGGUGAUCGGCCACACUGGAACUGAGACACGGUCCAGACUCCUACGGGAGGCAGCAGUAGGGAAUCUUCCGCAAUGGGCGAAAGCCUGACGGAGCCACGCCGCGUGAGUGAUGAAGGUCUUCGGAUCGUAAAACUCUGUUAUUAGGGAAGAACAAAUGUGUAAGUAACUAUGCACGUCUUGACGGUACCAAAACAGAAAGCCACGGCUAACUACGUG